rnacentral:rRNA from 1 species
GACGAACGCUGGCGGCGUGCCUAACACAUGCAAGUCGAGCGGGGACAUUGGAAGUGCUUGCACGGAAGAUGUUCUAGCGGCGGACGGGUGAGUAACGCGUGAACAAUCUGUCCCAGACAGGGGGAUAACAACUGGAAACAGUUGCUAAUACCGCAUGAGACCACAGCUUCGCAUGGAGCAGGGGUCAAAGGAGAAAUCCGGUCUGGGGUGAGUUCGCGUCUGAUUAGCUAGUUGGUGGGGUAACGGCUCACCAAGGCGACGAUCAGUAGCCGACCUGAGAGGGUGAUCGGCCACAUUGGAACUGAGAGACGGUCCAA